CCUACGGGUGGCAGCAGUGGGGAAUAUUGGACAAUGGGCGAAAGCCUGAUCCAGCCAUGCCGCGUGUGUGAAGAAGGCCUUCGGGUUGUAAAGCACUUUCAGUGGGGAAGAAAGCCUUGGGGCUAAUACCCUCGAGGAAGGACAUCACCCACAGAAGAAGCACCGGCUAACUCCGUGCCAGCAGCCGCGGUAAUACGGAGGGUGCGAGCGUUAAUCGGAAUUACUGGGCGUAAAGCGCGCGUAGGCGGUCUGAUAAGCCGGUUGUGAAAGCCCCGGGCUCAACCUGGGAACGGCAUCCGGAACUGUCAGGCUAGAGUGCAGGAGAGGAAGGUAGAAUUCCCGGUGUAGCGGUGAAAUGCGUAGAGAUCGGGAGGAAUACCAGUGGCGAAGGCGGCCUUCUGGACUGACACUGACGCUGAGGUGCGAAAGCGUGGGUAGCAAACAGGAUUAGAUCCCCGUGUAGUC
rnacentral:rRNA from 1 species